rnacentral:lncRNA from 1 species
AGGCAUAUUAUCCAUUGAGCAAGGGUACACCUUAUACCAUACAACACAACCUACACCCGUGAUAAUUAGAGCCAAGUAAUGCACAAAAUAUAGGGGCAUGUUACAACAUUAGUGAAAACUCUCUCUACAUUCACAGGUUCAUUCACUAAACCCCUCACCUAAAGUGCUGAGCCAGAAUCGAUGAUGCCAAAGAGCACUUCAUCAUCUCUUAUUUGUUUU